rnacentral:lncRNA from 1 species
AUUUCAACAAGUAAUGCCAAAGAGUGGUCUGCCUGUGUUCUCUUCUAGGAGUUCUGAUGUGCGUUGAGGUGCCUGCCUGGGACAUGAAUUUAAUUAUGGGAGUGUGGUGGCUUAAUUCUCCCUGAACCUUGAAGGAUUACACAUCAGCAUCUCAUGUUUACUUCCUGUAAUUAAAAUGGUGGCAGCGUGUGAGCCUUAAGGCAAGGGAAAUGAAGCUUUGUUAGACAUCUCCUCCUCCAAUGAGAGUUAAGUAUCAACACAGGUAUAUCCAAACCACUUUUGUUUUCUAUUAACAAGUUCUGAAUAAUAGUGUUUAGUUUUCUCCCAAACUUCAGAGUAUGAACAGCAGCUAGCAACUGAAUGUGAGUCCAGUACUUCCAAACAUUUCACAAGUACCACGCUGACUCCAUAGUGGAUGAAAUGAAUGUUAAGGUUUUCCUUGAACACCUGGUAAACCCUGACUGCUUGUUUAUAUCUAAACGAGGCAAUAAAAUGACUGAUUUGGAGGUGACCUGCUAACUAGAGAGAGGAUCACUUCACAUCUGGGCAAAGCCAACAAAGAAAGAAAGCUGGGACUAACACGGAUGGAAAAAUUUUGGUCCACAUUAAAAAAAUAUAUACCUGUUUUAGUCUGCUCAGACUGCUAUAACAACAUUCCAUAGACU